CUUGGUCAUUUAGAGGANGUAAAAGUCGUAACAAGGUCUCCGUUGGUGAACCAGCGGAGGGAUCAUUACCGAGUUUACAACUCCCAAACCCCUGUGAACAUACCUUUAUGUUGCCUCGGCGGAUCAGCCCGCGCCCCGUAAAACGGGACGGCCCGCCGCAGGAACCACAAAACUCUGAUUUUAGUGUAACUUCUGAGUCUAAAAAACAAAUAAAUCAAAACUUUCAACAACGGAUCUCUUGGUUCUGGCAUCGAUGAAGAACGCAGCAAAAUGCGAUAAGUAAUGUGAAUUGCAGAAUUCAGUGAAUCAUCGAAUCUUUGAACGCACAUUGCGCCCGCCAGUAUUCUGGCGGGCAUGCCUGUUCGAGCGUCAUUUCAACCCUCAAGCCCCCGGGUUUGGUGUKGGGGAUCGGGCUGUACUCCAGCCCGGCCCCGAAAUCUAGUGGCGGUCUCGCUGCAGCCUCCAUUGCGUAGUAGCUAACACCUCGCAACUGGAACGCGGCGCGGCCAAGCCGUUAAACCCCCAACUUCUGAAUGUUGACCUCGGAUCAGGUAGGAAUACCCGCUGAACUUAAGCAUAUCAAUAAGCGGAGGA
rnacentral:rRNA from 1 species